UACCAGCACCCCGAGUGGUCGGGACGAUUAUUGGGCCUAAAGCAUCCGUAGCCGGUCUUGCAAGUCUUCCGUUAAAUCCACCUGCUUAACAGAUGGGCUGCGGAGGAUACUAUAAGACUAGGAGGCAGGAGAGGCAAGCGGUACUCGAUGGGUAGGGGUAAAAUCCGUUGAUCCAUUGAAGACCACCAGUGGCGAAGGCGGCUUGCCAGAACGCGCUCGACGGUGAGGGAUGAAAGCUGGGGGAGCAAACCGG
rnacentral:rRNA from 1 species